GGAUUAGAUACCCUGGUAGUCCUAGCUGUAAACGAUGGAUACUAGACGUAGGAACUGGAUUGACGGUUUCUGUGUCGCAGCUAACGCGUUAAGUAUCCCGCCUGGGGAGUACGGUCGCAAGACUAAAACUCAAAGGAAUUGACGGGGACCCGCACAAGUAGUGGAGCAUGUGGUUUAAUUCGAAGAUACGCGCAGAACCUUACCAACACUUGACAUGUUCGUCGCGGCUCUAAGAGAUUAGAGCUUUCGGUUCGGCCGGACGAAACACAGGUGCUGCAUGGCUGUCGUCAGCUCGUGUCG
rnacentral:rRNA from 1 species